AGACGGGGCCCGCACAAGCGGUGGAGCAUGUGGUUAAUUCGACGCAACGCGAAGAACCUUACCUGGGUUUGACAUCCCGAUCGUACUCUAUGGAAACAUAGGGGCCAGUUCGGCUGGAUCGGUGACAGGUGCUGCAUGGCUGUCGUCAGCUCGUGUCGUGAGAUGUUGGGUUAAGUCCCGCAACGAGCGCAACCCUUACGGUUAGUUGCCAGCGGUUAAAGCCGGGCACUCUAGCUGAACUGCCGUUGACAAAACGGAGGAAGGUGGGAUGACGUCAAAUCAUCAUGCCCUUUAUAUCCUGGGCUACACACGUGCUACAAUGGCCUGUACAAAGGGCAGCGACACAGCGAUGUGAAGCGAAUCCCGAAAAGCCGGUCUCAGUCCGGAUUGGAGUCUGCAACUCGACUCCAUGAAGUUGGAAUCGCUAGUAAUCGCGGAUCAGCACGCCCGCGGUCCGAAUACGUUCCGGCCUU
rnacentral:rRNA from 1 species